rnacentral:rRNA from 1 species
AGAGUUUGAUCCUGGCUCAGGAUGAACGCUAGCUACAGGCUUAACACAUGCAAGUCGAGGGGCAGCAUGUUGGUUGCUUGCAACCAACGAUGGCGACCGGCGCACGGGUGAGUAACGCGUAUCCAACCUACCCUUGUCCAUCGGAUAACCCGUCGAAAGGCGGCCUAACACGAUAUGCGGUUCACAGCAGGCAUCUAACGUGAACGAAAUGUAAAGGAGAAGGAUGGGGAUGCGUCUGAUUAGCUUGUGGCGGGUAACGCCACAAGGCUACGAUCAGUAGGGGUUCUGGAGAGGAAGGUCCCCCACAUUGGAACUGAGACACGGUCCAAAACUCCUACGGGAGGCA